rnacentral:rRNA from 1 species
GUAGGUGGCAAGCGUUGUCCGGAAUUAUUGGGCGUAAAGCGCGCGCAGGCGGUUCUUUAAGUCUGAUGUGAAAGCCCACGGGCUCAACCGUGGGGGGUCAUUGGAAACUGGAGAACUUGAGUACAGAAGAGGAAAGCGGAAUUCCACGUGUAGCGGUGAAAUGCGUAGAGAUGUGGAGGAACACCAGUGGCGAAGGCGGCUUUCUGGUCUGUAACUGACGCUGAGGCGCGAAAGCGUGGGGAGCAAACAGGAUUAGAUACCCUGGUAGUCCACGCCGUAAACGAUGAGUGCCAAGUGUUAGGGGGUUUCCGCCCCUUAGUGCUGCAGCUAACGCAUUAAGCACUCCGCCUGGGGAGUACGGCCGCAAAGGCUG